ACUUUUCCUUGAAACCCUCCCUUUUCUACACUUACUUACCUGUGAUGUUCCUUGUGAGUCUAUUGUCCAUUGCUAUUUAUUUGACUCUUUCUUUACCUUGUAACCAUUGAUUUCUUCUCGCCAUGCUAUAGAGCAUUAUAAUGUACUGUAUUAUACUAUAUUACAUAACAAUACCGCACUGCAUAAUACUUGGCAGGCAACGUUGAUUUGCACUAAAUGCCAUUGUAACCGAAAACUGGACACCCUAAAAGAGCACUAUGAUCCAUUUUAGCAACUGAGCUCAUGGUGACGCAAAGUGCUGAAAUCGACUGAAUUCGCUCAAGACCGAUCGAUGUGCUAUGAAGGUUGGAAAAGGUAAGAAAGGACGUUGGAUUUCGAUUAUGUCAGAUGCCAGCACGGGCCCUUUUUUGAAAUUUUCAAUUUCGCAUCUUCACGUGGCAGCGCAGCGCUGUGUAGCUGGAGGAAGAAAGGAAGGAAGGACAAGAGAAAAGGCAAUGCGAGAGCAGUAGACGAUGAAGAAGAAGAACAGACGGGUGAAACAAUUGUCAUGAAGAUGUAAAGAAAAGAAGGAGCUGAGAAUGUAGAGAAAUGUGCCAAUGUCAGAUGAUUUGCGAUUUGUUUGGCUAAAAGUAUAGAAGAAAACGAGGUUAGGGUUAUGGGGUUACGGUUAUUGAAGGUUAAAGAAAUAUGAAUGGGAAGAAUUGUUUUGGAUGCAUUUCGUAUUAGAUUGUAUGUAUA